CCUACGGGUGGCUGCAGUGGGGAAUAUUGCACAAUGGGCGAAAGCCUGAUGCAGCAAUGCCGCGUGAGCGAUGAAGGCCUUCGGGUCGUAAAGCUCUGUCCUCAAGGAAGAUAAUGACGGUACUUGCGGAGGAAGCCCCGGCUAACUACGUGCCAGCAGCCGCGGUAAUACGUAGGGGGCUAGCGUUAUCCGGAAUUACUGGGCGUAAAGGGUGGGUAGGGGGUUUCUUAGGUCAGGGGUGAAAGGCAAGGGCUCAACCGCAGUAAGCCUUUGAUACUGUGAAACUUGAGUGCAGGAGAGGAGAGUGGAAUUCCUAGUGUAGAGGUGAAAUGCGUAGAUAUUAGGAGGAACACCAGUGGCGAAGGCGGCUCUCUGGACUGUAACUGACACUGAGGCACGAAAGCGUGGGGAGCAAACAGGAUUAGAUACCCUAGUAGUC
rnacentral:rRNA from 1 species